rnacentral:rRNA from 1 species
AUUGAACGCUGGCGGCAUGCCUUACACAUGCAAGUCGAACGGUAACAGGUCUUCGGACGCUGACGAGUGGCGAACGGGUGAGUAAUGCAUCGGAACGUGCCCAGUCGUGGGGGAUAACUGCUCGAAAGAGCAGCUAAUACCGCAUACGACCUGAGGGUGAAAGCGGGGGACCGUAAGGUCUCGCGCGAUUGGAGCGGCCGAUGUCAGAUUAGCUAGUUGGUGGGGUAAAGGCCUACCAAGGCAACGAUCUGUAGUUGGUCUGAGAGGACGACCAGCCACACUGGGACUGAGACACGGCCCAGACUCCUACGGGAGGCAGCAGUGGGGAAUUUUGGACAAUGGGCGCAAGCCUGAUCCAGCAAUGCCGCGUGCAGGAAGAAGGCCUUCGGGUUGUAAACUGCUUUUGUCAGGGAAGAAAUCUUCUGGGCUAAUACCCCGGGAGGAUGACGGUACCUGAAGAAUAAGCACCGGCUAACUACGUG